UAACAAGGUCUCCGUUGGUGAACCAGCGGAGGGAUCAUUAUCGAGUUAUUCAACUCCCAAACCCUAUGUGAACUUACCACUUGUUGCUUCGGCGCGCGCUUCGGCGCCGCCGAGGACACUUAAACUCUUUGUUUUUAUAAGCAUUUCUGAGUGGCCGAAAGGCAAAAAUACAAAUGAAUCAAAACUUUCAACAACGGAUCUCUUGGUUCUGGCAUCGAUGAAGAACGCAGCGAAAUGCGAUAAGUAAUGUGAAUUGCAGAAUUCAGUGAAUCAUCGAAUCUUUGAACGCACAUUGCGCCCGCCAGCAUUCUGGCGGGCAUGCCUGUUCGAGCGUCAUUUCAACCCUCGAGCCCAACUCUUUUGAGGACGGCUCGGCGUUGGGGGACGGCAGACUCCCCCCGGCAUCUCGCCGGGGACGCCGCCCCCGAAAUCUAGUGGCGGCCCUCCGAGGCGACCUCUGCGUAGUAACUUGUUCUCGCACCGGAAAGCUCAGAGCGGCCACGCCGUAAAACCCCAACUUUUUUCAGGUUGACCUCGAAUCAGGUAGGACUACCCGCUGAACUUAAGCAUAUCAAU
rnacentral:rRNA from 1 species